AGUGAACGCUGGCGGUAGGCCUAACACAUGCAAGUCGAACGGCAGCACAGUAAGAGCUUGCUCUUACGGGUGGCGAGUGGCGGACGGGUGAGGAAUACAUCGGAAUCUACUUUUUCGUGGGGGAUAACGUAGGGAAACUUACGCUAAUACCGCAUACGACCUACGGGUGAAAGCAGGGGAUCUUCGGACCUUGCGCGAUUGAAUGAGCCGAUGGCGGAUUAGCUAGUUGGCGGGGUAAAGGCCCACCAAGGCGACGAUCCGUAGCUGGUCUGAGAGGAUGAUCAGCCACACUGGAACUGAGACACGGUCCAGACUCCUACGGGAGGCAGCAGUGGGGAAUAUUGGACAACGGGCGCAAGCCUGAUCCAGCCAUACCGCGUGGAUGAAGAAGGCCUUCGGGUUGUAAAGCCCUUUUGUUGGGAAAGAAAAGCAGCAGGUUAAUACCCCGCUGUUCUGACGGUACCCAAAGAAUAAGCACCGGCUAACUUCGUG
rnacentral:rRNA from 1 species